rnacentral:lncRNA from 1 species
UUGCCCUGGGGGUCAAAAAGCUCCAAGGAAAUGCCCACUUGGAACAGCCAAUGAACUUACAGCUCAAGUGGACAUCACAGCCUGCCAGGUAAGCUGACGAGCAGGGAAGGAGAGCAGGCAGGUGCAAGCAGCCUUUUCUACAUUUCUACAUUUACUGCCACGUAUUUUGAAUUAUCUCAUUUUAAGCUUCAAACCAGAUUUUUCAGUUUGGUUUGAGGUUUUUUGGGAUAUUUGAUAUUUGGGUAUAUUUUUACUCAGAGCAAGCCACGUGUCCAUCCAGGUAGACAUUGAGCAGCACUUCCUUGACUCGUUCGUUACAGUACUGAUGGUAUAAAGUACAUGUAGGGAACUCUAGGGGAAUUCUAUGAACUGAAGAGCUCAUAGAAUCAUUCUUUGACUCUAUGACCUCUUCAGAGUGCGGAGGCCAGAGUUUGAAAAUGCUCCAAGAUCCUUUCUUUUUAACAUUUGAGCUGAAUGUGUCUGAAACUUUGUUGGCUUACGUUAUUCCUGCAAAGAAUACGUUUCUAUGGAUCUGAUGCUGCUUGUGAUUACGCUGCAGGUCUGUCCCAAAGGCUAUCUCAGCCUAGAGAAUGGAGCGGGAUGUCGUGCGUGCCCAGAUGGCUAUUCAUGUGAUCCACGUAGCGGUGUGCAGAGGAGCUGCAGCCCUGGCCAGUAUUCUCCAGAGGGAGAGUCAGAGUGUCUGGAAUGCCCGGAGAACUAUGCCUGCCCAGAUGGACGGAGUAGGCAGCACUGUUUGGCCGGGCAGGAGCCAAAUCCAAGCCACACUCAUUGUGUUACCUACACCCCUGGUUCUUUCUCAGCUGAAGACACGCUGAUACGCCAGCCUUGUCCAGCAGGUCACUUCUGUGCAGGCAGCUUUACAGAUGCUCCUCUGUGCCCAGCAGGGAGCUUCAAGCCCAAAGAGGGACUACACAUGCCCAGCAGCAGCAGCUCCUCGUUCUUGCCCGGUCUGUGUCAGAAAAGGUCUUAAUUUUUUGCAGUGGGAGUAAUAAUUCUUGCUCUAAAUCACACUGUGAAGUAUGUGCUUAUGGAGGGGUGGUGGCUACAGUUCUUAUUUGCUAGGCUCUGUCGAAGGCAAUGCUAGAGCUGGAUGAAAGGAACGUGGAUUCUCCUACAAAUCACCAGGCUGGUGGUGUAGCAUCAAUUAGUUAUUAGUAUUUUACAAAAUACAAUAUGCUUGGGUUAUAGUUUCUUGGGAAG